rnacentral:misc_RNA from 1 species
CAGACCAAACACACAAAACAUGGAGUUCAAUUAAAUUCCACAAAAUUGUGGAAUGGAAUGGAACCAAACAAGCUUUAAAACUUGAAACUCGUGGCAAACCAGUACUCCCUGCUUCCAAUUUCAAUGCUUUUUAAGGUUUUUGCAAAAGGAUUAAGAAAAUGAUUAGAUAUCCUCAUUUUAUAAAAAAAAAAUAUUAAUAAUUUACCAAAAUAUGCUAAUAUUUAAUUAAAAUGAAAAAAAAGCGACAAGGAAGAGAUAAAUGCAUUGAGGAUAACAACAGACAAUGAUAAAGUUUAAAAAAAUAAUUAAUGCAUCAUUAAUUUUCUAAAACGGCAAAUAAAGUUGGAUACACAAAAAUUUUAAAACAUCAGUUGGAAUGGGGUGGAGGGAAUACAAGUAUCACAUGUUAUUUUUAUUAUCAGUCAGAAACUUUUAUCUGCUGGAAAAUUUUUUUUACCUUGUAACAAUAAAAGAAUAGAAUAAUAGCCAAAAAAAACAUGAUGUACAACAUUUAGGUGACUACCCAUGUUUGUCAUAAAAAAAUUGAUUACUAAACUUUUUAUCUGCAAAUGUAUGUUAUACAAAAUACUCACUUAGCAAUAAUUUCAAACCUAAAAUUUUAUUUUUUUUUUUAAAAAUAAUAAUGUACUGUUUAUAAAAAAAAUACCACAACAAAUUAUUAUUUUGCACUCACAAAAAGGAUCUCUUAUUAGUAAUGAAUUUCACAUUAUUUUCUCUUUAAUAUAUGCUUAAAACCAAUUCCAGUCUUUUUUUUUUUUCAUUAAAUGAUAAAUAAUCACAGCAAAACUUAUUGAAGAUUUGAAUUUGGCUGUAAGCAACAAGUCAAUUUUUUAUGGACAAUCUUAAAUUUUCUAUAUAUGCAUAUAGUUUUUUUUUUUUUUUUGUUAUACCUUGAUGACAAUGUAAAUUAUAUUUCAAAUAGAUUUUCAAACUUUUUCACCCUUGCAACUUAUAUUUCUAUGUCAUAUAAACUUUUAUUUUGUAUUAGUUCUUUAAGAAAAAUGUACAAUUAUUCUCUUGACAAUUGAAGUAAUCAUUUCUAUAUGUGUGUAUACACAAGUAUGAUACAAAUUAAAAAUUACAAUUGUUAUGUCAACUUUAGUUAACGGGGCCUAUAUUCUACCCAAUAAUACAACAACAUUAAGAUUAGAAAUUAAUAUGACCAAACCAAAUUCAUUUAUAAUUGAUAAUACAAUUCCAUUCAAUAACACAAAUAUUAUUGUAAUUACUGAUUUUGACAGCCAAUUCAAAUUCACAUACCAGAUAGUUUGGUAAUACAACAUUUUGAUGUCCUUUUUCUAUCAAAUGUUUCACAAAAUUCAUAUGUGUCUGACUAAAAGGUACCCAUCUAAAAGGGCUACAUAGUGUCCUUUAUUCAGGUUUAUAUAUUGCAAAAUCAUGAUUAUCACACAUCCCGACAACGACAAAGUAGUAGUAAAUUAUCACAGAGCUGGUAAAGGACCAAAGAUGAUGUUGAUUCUCAGAGAUACUGUAUUAUGAACCUAAAAUUGUAAGGAAGUCAUCUAAGCACUGGAGUAGAACACACAAGUAGCUUCAGAACAUUCAUGAUCAUUUUUAAGGCCCCAAUAAUUUAUCAUUGAAAACAUUUUCUCUAUCUAAUAACCAACCAUUUUUACUGAAAAAAAAAAUACAUUGCAUGAUGAUGCAUAUUUCAUCAUAUAAUACAGAGGAGACAGCCUAGUUGGACUAAAUAUCUUUUUUUGCUGACCAAGACAAUCUUUGUUCGACACCAGCCUGACCAAAUCUGUAGGGGUAUCUAAUAAAUCCCAAAAACUAGGCUCCACAAUGCCAUAAUUCCCAUCCUCCCUAUACACAAUACUUAAAACACACUCUAGUGCUUAAUAGUUAAAGCUUUAUCUAGAGAACUAAGUUUUUCAAUUUAUAAGUAUCCAACUGAAAAAAUAAAAAAAAUAAAAAAUUGCAGCCAUAUAAAACCUAAAAAAUUUGAAGGCAUAUAUGCAAGUUAAUUGUUCAUGCUUAACUCCACAAUUUUGUAGCACUAUUAAAUUUCCAUAAAUAUGUUAAGGUUAGCCCUUUCCUUCAGGAAUUCCCUUAGACUAGUACACUCACUUCCAGUUUGGCAAAUUAUUUGAAUUUCUCAAGUCAUAAAAAAGGUAAAACAAUGCAAAAGUUAAUCUGAAUGAUAAAAAUCAUCCUAAGAAGUCUGAUUGCUUAUUAAGAAGAGAUAAGGAAAAGAGAAGCUGAAGUCUGUCAAGCAAAUGAUAAGUAAUAUACAAAUUGGCACCCCAAAUUCAAGUCAUAGCAAAAGAAAGGGGUACUUUUCUAAAGGAGAGUUUUAGCCCCUGUUUAGUUUCAAAAAAUGUUUUUCUAGUUUUCUUUUUCCAGUUUUCUGCUCCUUUUCCUAUUUUUCCAAUUGGAAAACUGGAAAAUAAGAAAACAUGUUCACUUUUUCGCUUCUCCAUUUUCCAUCUUUCCUUUACAAGACUAUUUUUCACAUUUUUUAACUAAAUUGGUUUUAUUGGAUUAAUAAAAGUCAUUGUUGAAUAUGAUAACUAUAAAAAUAGUUUCACAAGUUAAUUAAUUGAAUAUAUUUUUUUUAAUUUAAAAUAUAUUUUAAAUCUAAGAGUUAUCAUGAGAAAUAUUACACUAUUUUAGUCUAAUAUUUCAAAAUUGAAUUAAAUCUAUAAAUUAAG